ACGCUGGCGGCAGGCCUAAAAAGUCGAGCGGUAAGAGGUGCUUGCACCUCUUGAGAGCGGCGGACGGGUGAGUAAUGCCUAGGAAUCUGCCUGGUAGUGGGGGAUAACGCUCGGAAACGGACGCUAAUACCGCAUACGUCCUACGGGAGAAAGCAGGGGACCUUCGGGCCUUGCGCUAUCAGAUGAGCCUAGGUCGGAUUAGCUAGUUGGUGGGGUAAUGGCUCACCAAGGCGACGAUCCGUAACUGGUCUGAGAGGAUGAUCAGUCACACUGGAACUGAGACACGGUCCAGACUCCUACGGGAGGCAGCAGUGGGGAAUAUUGGACAAUGGGCGAAAGCCUGAUCCAGCCAUGCCGCGUGUGUGAAGAAGGUCUUCGGAUUGUAAAGCACUUUAAGUUGGAGGAAGGGCAUUAACCUAAUACGUUAGUGUUUUGACGUUACCGACAGAAUAAGCACCGGCUAACUCUGUGCCAGCAGCCGCGGUAAUACAGAGGGUGCAAGCGUUAAUCGGAAUUACUGGGCGUAAAGCGCGCGUAGGUGGUUCGUUAAGUUGGAUGUGAAAUCCCCGGGCUCAACCUGGGAACUGCAUUCAAAACUGUCGAGCUAGAGUAUGGUAGAGGGUGGUGGAAUUUCCUGUGUAGCGGUGAAAUGCGUAGAUAUAGGAAGGAACACCAGUGGCGAAGGCGACCACCUGGACUGAUACUGACACUGAGGUGCGAAAGCGUGGGGAGCAAACAGGAUUAGAUACCCUGGUAGUCCACGCCGUAAACGAUGUCAACUAGCCGUUGGGAGCCUUGAGCUCUUAGUGGCGCAUAACGCAUUAAGUUGACCGCCUGGGGAGUACGGCCGCAAGGUUAAAACUCAAAUGAAUUGACGGGGGCCCGCACAAGCGGUGGA
rnacentral:rRNA from 1 species